rnacentral:rRNA from 1 species
UGGGGAAUCUUGGACAAUGGGCGCAAGCCUGAUCCAGCCAUGCCGCGUGGAUGAUGAAGGCCUUAGGGUUGUAAAAUCCUUUCGCCGAGGACGAUAAUGACGGUACUCGGAGAAGAAGCUCCGGCUAACUUCGUGCCAGCAGCCGCGGUAAUACGAAGGGGGCUAGCGUUGUUCGGAUUUACUGGGCGUAAAGCGCGUGUAGGCGGGUCGUUAAGUUGGGGGUGAAAUCCUGAGGCUCAACCUCGGAACUGCCUUCAAAACUGGCGACCUGGACCUAAGUAGAGGCAAGUGGAAUUGCGAGUGUAGAGGUGAAAUUCGUAGAUAUUCGCAGGAACACCAGUGGCGAAGGCGACUUGCUGGACUUAUGGUGACGCUGAGACGCGAAAGCGUGGGGAGCAAACAGGAUUAGAUACCCAAGUAGUCCCUGAGCGGGCUGGCAAGGCGCAU